CUGGAACGCGCCCCAGGCGCACCCAGAAACCCUUUGUGAACUUAUACCUUACUGUUGCCUCGGCGCACGCCGGCCCCCAGGGGCCCCUCGGAGGCGAGGAGCAGGCACGCCGGCGGCCAAGUUAACUCUUGUUUUUACACUGAAACUCUGAGAAGAAAACAAAAUGAAUCA
rnacentral:misc_RNA from 1 species